rnacentral:rRNA from 1 species
GACGAACGCUGGCGGCGUGCUUAACACAUGCAAGUCGAACGGAAAGGCCCUGCUUUUGUGGGGUGCUCGAGUGGCGAACGGGUGAGUAACACGUGAGUAACCUGCCCUUGACUUUGGGAUAACUUCAGGAAACUGGGGCUAAUACCGGAUAGGAGCUCCUGCUGCAUGGUGGGGGUUGGAAAGUUUCGGCGGUUGGGGAUGGACUCGCGGCUUAUCAGCUUGUUGGUGGGGUAGUGGCUUACCAAGGCUUUGACGGGUAGCCGGCCCGAGAGGGUGACCGGCCACAUUGGGACUGAGAUACGGCCCAGACUCCUACGGGAGGCAGCAGUGGGGAAUAUUGCACAAUGGGCGGAAGCCUGAUGCAGCAACGCCGCGUGCGGGGUGACGGCCUUCGGGUUGUAAACCGCUUUCGCCUGUGACGAAGCGUGAGUGACGGUAAUGGGUAAAGAAGCACCGGCUAACUACGUG